UUCCUUCUUUCAUUUAUUAUUUUUUAUUUUCGCUUAUUUUCUUUCCUUUUUGGGCCUGCCUGGUCUUCUCACUCUGGGCCCUGGUGACAGCCUCCCAAGUAGCUGGGACUACAGGGAUCUCUUAAGCCCGGGAGGCAGAGGCUAACGUGGGCUGUGAUCGCGCACCUCCACUCCAGCUUACGUGAGGAUCACCCCAGCCUCAACGCUUUGGACCGACCAAGCAGUUGUCCUGCCUCUGAUCUCUCCCAUCCCCAUUACUUGGGACUACAGGCAUGCACCACAACACCGGUUGACUUUUAUGUUGUUUCUCAUGUUUUCCGUAGGUAGGUAGGUAUGUAGGUAUGUAUGUAUGUAUAUAUGUGAGUGAGAUGGGGUUCGGGGUUCUAUCAUCUUGCCCAGGCUGGUCUCUAUCUCCUGUUCUCAAGCAAUCCACCUGCCUGCCUCAGCCGCCCACACUGCUGCUAUUACAGGCGUGAGACACUGCACCUGGCUCAUUCUAUAUUUGCCUGCCUGCCUGCCUGUCUAUCAAUCAUCUUGUUUUUAGUACGGAUGCACUCUCGCUUUGUUUUCCAUGCUCUGUCACACAUAAUCUAUUUUUAAACUUCUAUGAUUAUUAUUAUUGCAGGUGUCAUCUCACAUGUCGAGGUGAUGUCAAACUUUAAGGCUCCAGCGAUCCUCCCACAUCGGCCUCCCAGAGUGCUGUGAUGACACUCUUGGGCACAGUAUGCUCUGGUCAUAUUUCUCAUGUGUCGGUUCUUUCCGUUUUUAGUAUAGGGACUGGAAAGGAAAUUUUGAAACGCAUCUCACCAAUCUGCCUUUUCUUUCUUUCUUUCUUUCUUUUUUUUCUUUAGACGGAGUUUCACUCUUGACGCCCAGGGUGGAGUACAAUGGCACGAUCUCAGCUCACUGCAACCUCCGCCUCCCAGGUUCAAGUGAUUCUCCAGCCUCAGCCUUCCCAAGUAGCUGGAAUGACAACAAUGUGCCAUCAUGCCUGGCUAAUUUUUCUAUUUUUAGUACAGAUGGGGUUUCUCCAUCUUGGUCAGGCUGGUCUUGAACUUCUGACCAUUGGAGAAUUUUAACUUUCUUGGUGGUUGUUUUUCUUUUUUUUUCUUUUCUUUUCUUUUUUUUCUUUCCUUCUCCUCCCCCCCACCCCCACCCCCAGCCUCCCAGGUCCUCCUCCUCCUCCUUUUUCAUUUCCUUCAGCUGGGCUCUCUUACUUGUAUUGCUCGGUUGCUCACGCUGGUCUCAAACUCCUGGCCUUGACACUUCUCCUGUCACAUCCACUGUCUGGUUGUUGAAAUGAGCAUCUCUUGUAAAAUGGAAAAGAUGAAAAAAAUAAAGAGA
rnacentral:lncRNA from 10 species